CAUAAUCUAUGUACCAAGGGUUCUCACGAUCUCGGACACACCAUAGAUAUAUGCAACCUGCAACUUUUGGAUGCAAUUCUCCUCUCCUUAUGUAAACGUUUAUUGCUUCUUCUCUUAGUUCCUAUGCCAAUUAAUUCUGGGUAACUGUAAUUGCGGAGAACAAAACUCUAAAAGAACAAAUCACGGCUUAAAUUUCGUGGUUAUUAAAUAACCUGUUGUGAUUUUAUGCU